UGAAGGAUGAAGGCCUUCUGGGUUGUAAACUUCUUUUAUCUGGGAAGAAACCUCCGAUUUCUAUUGGAGCCGACGGUACCAGAUGAAUAAGCACCGGCUAACUCCGUGCCAGCAGCCGCGGUAAUACGGAGGGUGCAAGCGUUAUCCGGAUUCACUGGAUUUAAAGGGUGUGUAGGCGGGCUAUUAAGUCAGUGGUGAAAUCUCUGAGCUCAACUCAGAAACUGCCGUUGAUACUAUUAGUCUUGAAUAUCGAUGAGGUAGGCGGAAUAUGUCAUGUAGCGGUGAAAUGCUUAGAUAUGACAUAGAACACCGAUUGCGAAGGCAGCUUACUAAACGAUCAUUGACGCUGAGGCACGAAAGCGUGGGGAUCAAACAGGAUUAGAUACCCUGGUAGUCCACGCCCUAAACGA
rnacentral:rRNA from 1 species